GAUGAACGCUGGCGGCGUGCCUAAUACAUGCAAGUCGAGCGAACGGACGAGAAGCUUGCUUCUCUGAUGUUAGCGGCGGACGGGUGAGUAACACGUGGAUAACCUACCUAUAAGACUGGGAUAACUUCGGGAAACCAGAGCUAAUACCGGAUAAUAUUUUGAACCGCAUGGUUCAAAAGUGAAAGACGGUCUUGCUGUCACUUAUAGAUGGAUCCGCGCUGCAUUAGCUAGUUGGUAAGGUAACGGCUUACCAAGGCAACGAUGCAUAGCCUACCUGAGAGGGUGAUCGGCCACACUGGAACUGAGACACGGUCCAGACUCCUACGGGAGGCAGCAGUAGGGAAUCUUCCGCAAUGGGCGAAAGCCUGACGGAGCAACGCCGCGUGAGUGAUGAAGGUCUUCGGAUCGUAAAACUCUGUUAUUAGGGAAGAACAUAUGUGUAAGUAACUGUGCACAUCUUGACGGUACCUAAUCAGAAAGCCACGGCUAACUACGUG
rnacentral:rRNA from 1 species